CGCGCUAUGGAGAAGGUGAGGAAUCUGUGGCGCGACGCGCGACGUGAGUCCAUGCAGUACCCGUGCGUCAGCCGUUUUCUGCUCAAUAUCUGAGCUGGACGCGCUGCGCCAAGCUCUGCCCGGCGGCUCUGCCCCUGCCUGCCACCCACCCUGAGGCCCAGCCGGCCCGCGGGAAUAUUUUACGAUGACACUGCACAUCAGCGUCACAAAGAGGCCCGCCGCGGGAUCAAUAAUACUACAAUAAUAAAACGGAGCAGCACCGGGCGCAUCAUUCAAGGCCUGACCCAGUGACCUGGGGACCCGCGUCGGAGAGACAAUGGUGCCUUAUCAGUGGCAGGUCCGGGACCAGGUCGGCGCGAGGUCGUCGAGGAAGAGGGCCUGCUGGCUCAAUGGACCUUCCCGGAGCUCAUCAGCAGCGUCAGCGCGUCGCUUCGAGGUGGACGACGCACCUGACGGAGACGGGCGCUGCAAAAUCGGCAGAGGAGAGAGUCCGACCCUAAGCGCCGGCGCCACGUGCAGUGCACCCCGAGGACGGACACCUCGGCCAUGACGCAGCAUCCGG